rnacentral:rRNA from 1 species
AUCGGAGGCAGCAGUAAGGAAUCUUCGGCAAUGGACGAAAGUCUGACCGAGCAACGCCGCGUGAGUGAUGAAGGCCUUCGGGUCGUAAAACUCUGUUGCCAGAGAAGAACGUCCGGGAGAGUAACUGCUCCUGGAGUGACGGUAUCUGAGAAGAAAGCCCCGGCUAACUACGUGCCAGCAGCCGCGGUAAUACGUAGGGGGCAAGCGUUGUCCGGAAUUAUUGGGCGUAAAGCGCGCGCAGGCGGUCUUUUAAGUCUGGGGUUUAAGUUCGGGGCUCAACCCCGCAUCGCCCUGGAAACUGGGAGACUGGAGUGCAGGAGAGGAAAGUGGAAUUCCACGUGUAGCGGUGAAAUGCGUAGAGAUGUGGAGGAACACCAGUGGCGAAGGCGACUUUCUGGCCUGUAACUGACGCUGAGGCGCGAAAGCGUGGGAGCAAACAGGAUUAGAUACCCCGGUAA